rnacentral:rRNA from 1 species
GACGAACGCUGGCGGCGUGCUUAACACAUGCAAGUCGAGCGGAAAGGCCCUGCUUUUGUUGGGUGCUCGAGUGGCGAACGGGUGAGUAACACGUGAGUAACCUGCCCUUGACUUUGGGAUAACUUCAGGAAACUGGGGCUAAUACCGGAUAGGAGCUCCUGCUGCAUGGUGGGGGUUGGAAAGUUUCGGCGGUUGGGGAUGGACUCGCGGCUUAUCAGCUUGUUGGUGGGGUAGUGGCUUACCAAGGCUUUGACGGGUAGCCGGCCUGAGAGGGUGACCGGCCACAUUGGGACUGAGAUACGGCCCAGACUCCUACGGGAGGCAGCAGUGGGGAAUAUUGCACAAUGGGCGGAAGCCUGAUGCAGCAACGCCGCGUGCGGGAUGACGGCCUUCGGGUUGUAAACCGCUUUCGCCUGUGACGAAGCGUGAGUGACGGUAAUGGGUAAAGAAGCACCGGCUAACUACGUG